rnacentral:miRNA from 1 species
UGGAUUGUUCUCCAACCUGGCUCU